AAAACAAAAAAAAAAUCAUCUGAUGCACGUCUGUUAUACUGCGAAUAAAAGCAGUACCAUCUGAAACAUUAGUAAUAACCAUCAUAGGACUCGGGAGCCACCUGGAUGCCUUGUAUUCUUAUAUUCAUGAUCCAUAAACGAAACACGACAUCAUUGAACUAAACAAAAUACGCACGACCCCCCAGCAUUCGCGGUCCAGUCAAGGCAAGAUGAAGAUCGUUCGUAGAGACCUAGUACCCGAUGGCCCUGGUAGUGUCAAGAUGGUUCCCGAAGAAGCAGACGAUUUGUGGAUUGCUUAUAAUUUGAUUGCUGAGGGCGACACUGUCUUAGCUGUUACUGUCAGGAAAGUUCUGAGGGAAACAGCUUCCGGAGAAAGAGAUUCCGAAAGGGUAAAGCUCAGAUUAGAAGUUAAGGUUGAGACAAUGGAGUAUGAUAAAGAAGGGUCUGCUUUACGUAUUCGGGGAAAGAAUGUUCUGGAGAAUGAAUAUGUCAAGAUAGGUGCAUUCCACACGCUGGAAAUUGAGCCACAUCGACCUUUUGUCUUAAGGAAGGAAGUCUGGGACUCACUGGCUUUAGAGGUACUCCACCAAGCAUCUGAUCCAUCUGCCAGUGCUGAUCUAGGAGUGGUUUUAAUGCAAGAAGGAUUGGCCCAUAUUUUUCUUGUUGGUAAAAGUGUAACUAUCACCCGUUCUCGUAUAGAGACAUCAAUACCUCGCAAGCAUGGGCCUGCAGUUGCGGGUUAUGAUAAAGCUUUGAACAAAUUCUUCGAAAAUGUCCUAAAGGCAUUUCGUCAACAUAUUGACUUCAAUGUUGUUCGUUGUGCUGUGAUCGCAAGUCCUGGAUUUACAAAGGAUCAAUUUCAUCGUCACCUACUGUUGGAGGCAGAAAGGAAGCAACUGAGACCUAUUAUAGAGAACAAGUCUCGCAUAGUACUUGUGCAUACAACAUCAGGAUACAAGCAUAGUUUGAGAGAGGUUUUGGAUGCACCAAAUGUUAUGAAUAUGAUAAAAGAUACAAAAGCCGCUAAAGAGGUCCAAGCCCUGAAAGAAUUCUUCUCAAUGCUUUCAAAUGUCAGGAUUCUGAUCGUGCAUGCUACGGGCCAAAGCAUGUUGAAGUUGCUCAUGAACGGAUGGCAGUCCAGACACUUCUCAUCACUGAUGAGCUCUUCAGGAGUUCUGAUAUAGAAGCGAGGCAAAAGUAUGCCAAUUUGGUGAAAUCAGUCAAGGAGUCAGGCGGCACUGCUUACAUCUUCUCAUCCAUGCAUGUUUCAGGAGAACAGCUGGCACAGCUGUCUGGUAUUGCUGCAAUUCUUCGCUUUCCUCUCCCAGACCUAGAAGAUAUAGAGAUGUGAUAGGAGAGUUGCGAAACUGAUAGCUCCAUAUGUGGUUGUACAAUUACUACUAUUAUUUCUUUCCUCAAGUUCUUUAUGUACCACCAGUGAUGAAACUUUACUCUUUUUUUUUUUUUUGAGGGAGGAUAAAACUUUAGCACUAGAUUUAUAGGCCAUGGAGGAGGCUUUACAAGGGGGAUUUAACCUAUAGGCUGUAUGCAUACUGGUUUUUGUCCAAGUAAUCUACAUCCAUUGUUGUAGUUCGCAAGCUACUUUCUUGAUAAGAAAGGUCAUGGUACCUUACUCUUGCCGCAUGUCAUAAUUGUGGUUGUCUCGGGUUUUUCUUAAAGGGUUAACUUGUGAU